rnacentral:rRNA from 1 species
UAUGAGAGUUUGAUCCUGGCUCAGGACGAACGCUGGCGGCGUGCCUAAUACAUGCAAGUCGAACGCUUCUUUCCUCCCGAGUGCUUGCACUCAAUUGGAAAGAGGAGUGGCGGACGGGUGAGUAACACGUGGGUAACCUACCCAUCAGAGGGGGAUAACACUUGGAAACAGGUGCUAAUACCGCAUAACAGUUUAUGCCGCAUGGCAUAAGAGUGAAAGGCGCUUUCGGGUGUCGCUGAUGGAUGGACCCGCGGUGCAUUAGCUAGUUGGUGAGGUAACGGCUCACCAAGGCCACGAUGCAUAGCCGACCUGAGAGGGUGAUCGGCCACACUGGGACUGAGACACGGCCCAGACUCCUACGGGAGGCAGCAGUAGGGAAUCUUCGGCAAUGGACGAAAGUCUGACCGAGCAACGCCGCGUGAGUGAAGAAGGUUUUCGGAUCGUAAAACUCUGUUGUUAGAGAAGAACAAGGACGUUAGUAACUGAACGUCCCCUGACGGUAUCUAACCAGAAAGCCACGGCUAACUACGUGCCAGCAGCCGCGGUAAUACGUAGGUGGCAAGCGUUGUCCG